rnacentral:tRNA from 1 species
UGGCUCAGAUGGUAAAAGCGUCUGUCUACAAUGCAGGAGACCCGGGUUCAAUCCCUGG